GAUGAACGCUGGCGGCGUGCCUAACACAUGCAAGUCGAACGGAAUCCCGCCUUAGAGACCUUCGGGUCAAAGAGGGGAAGCCUGAGUGGCGGACGGGUGAGUAACACGUGGGCAACCUGGCUCAUAGAGGGGGAUAACAGAGAGAAAUUUCUGCUAAUACCGCAUAAGCACACACUGCCGCAUGGCAGAGUGUGAAAAGAGAAUCGCUAUGAGAUGGACCCGCGUCUGAUUAGCCAGUUGGCAGGGUAAGAGCCUACCAAAGCGACGAUCAGUAGCCGAUUUGAGAGGAUGAACGGCCACAUUGGGACUGAGACACGGCCCAAACUCCUACGGGAGGCAGCAGUGGGGGAUAUUGCACAAUGGGGGGAACCCUGAUGCAGCGACGCCGCGUGAGUGAAGAAGUAUGUCGGUAUGUAAAGCUCUAUAAGCAGGGAAGAUAAUGACAGUACCUGAAUAAGAAGCCCCGGCUAACUACGUG
rnacentral:rRNA from 1 species